rnacentral:lncRNA from 1 species
CCUCGGCUCCUGCUCCAGCGGCAUAUGUGAUUCACCAACAAGGAGGGACGCCAAUAAGGCAUCCGAUAAGAUAAGUCUUAUAAAAUAUAUAGCUGUAUGGUAAUUGAGACUGAGCUAACAAAUGAGAAUCCUAGUCAUUGGCCAAACAGCUUUGUAACUAAUACAAGUCUCUCUGUGUAUUCAUUUGGGCCUAACUUGGGCGGGCGGCUGGCGUAAAGCUCACACGUGGCGGUGGGGCUCAGGCGGCUUUUGGCAAAAAGAUUUAUCGUAACACUGAUCCAUGGGCAUGGGAGAUCUCUCCAUUUUCUGAUAUCUUCUCCAUAUUAUUUCUUCAAAGACUUGAAGUUCUCAUCAUAUAGGUAUUUUACUUGCUUAGUUAGAGUUACACCAACAUAUUUUAUAUUAUUUGAGGCUACUGUAAAACGUCUUGAUUCUCUGAUUUCUUUCUCAGCUGGUUAUCAUUUAUGUAUAGGAAGGAUACCGAUUUUUUUUUUUUAGUUAAUCUUGUAUCCAAUCACUGACUAAAGGUGUUUAUCAGGUAUAGUAGUGAUGGAGAAUGUACUGUGUAUGUUCAUUUUAUUGAUUAUUGAAUAAAGUACUUGUUUGGCCAAUGAGACAGCAAGUUAGAUGAGACUAGGAGUCAAAGAGGAUUCUAGGAAAUGUAGUAGAGAAGUGGUGUUCCAGGCAGGAAGUGAUAUAGCAAGGAGACUCAUAUUUAAGAAAGGAGAAACAGGAAGUAUCCCUUUUCCCCUCCGCUCCUACUCCAGUGGUGCAAUGUGAUCCACCAGCAAGGGCGAGGCCAGCAGAAGGCAUCCUCUAUAAGAUAAGUCUUAUAAAAUAUAUAGAUUUAUGAUAAUUAAGACUGAGCUAACAGAUGAAAAAUCCUAGUCAUUGGCCAAGCAGCAUUUAAACCCAAUACAAGUUUCUGUGUAUUAAUUUGGGCCCUAACUCGGGCGGAUGGCUGGCAUAAAGUGCACACAUGGCGGUGGGGCUCAGUGGCUUUUGGUGGAAAGAUUUAUCGUAACAUAGUAGUUCCCUGAUAGAGAUAUUGGGGUUGUUUAUAUAUACUAUCAUAUCCAUAUUAUCUGCAAAUAAUAAUACUUUGAUUUCUUCCUUUCCAAUUUGUAUUCCCUUGAUACUUAAAUUCUACCAGGUAAGUUAAAGUCAUGUGUUCUCAUGAAUAUUUGGAUCCUUGGAUCAAGUCUAUAGCCAUAGCUCUGUGAAUAUUUCUGAUCAUGUAUGGAUUCUAGGGUUGAAUAUUAAGACUUGUGUGUUUAACAUGGAGUAUAUGUAGAAUCCAGGAAACUAGAAAAGGGCCAUUGGAGAGGUAAGAAAGAUCUUAAGAGGAGGGGAUAAUGGAAAACAGGUGAGUUGGGGAUGUUUGAGAUUCUAAGAUACUAGAAUAUCACUGAAGAAAGCUAUCUAUUGGUAAGAAGUAGAAUCCCAAAGCAGGGCUGUGUGUGUUGUAGGCAGCACAACUGGAGAGACAGGUCUACCCAAGCUUUUGAAAUUCAGAUGCUGCCUGACAGAUCUACAGGACUUGGUGUUUACCCUACUGGACUUUGAUCUUGGUUUGGUCUGAUCUCACUAUGUUUUCUUCUCUUGUGAAAUGGGAAUAUUUAUUGUAUGCCACUGUAAUGUUGGACUAUGUAACUCAUAUUUUUAUGUUCAAGGGGGCUCAAAGUUUUAAGAGCCUGCAGAGUUUCAGAAGAUUUAUUCACACUUUUGAACACUGUAGGAAGUUUUAAAAUUAUGGAGAUUGUUGAAGUUGGGUUGAAUAAAUUUGUAUUAUGAGUUGCAUGACAGAGCUAAGACAUAUAAGCUCAGAGGUAGAAAGUUAUGUCUUAAAAGUGACAUGUUUGUCAAUUUGACAAGGAAUGGAGUUGUAAUAGUUAAUUUUGAUUGACAUCACAGGAUCAAGAAUCACCUUGCAAACAAUACAGUUGCCAUAGCUGUGAAGGAUUAUUAUGGAGUCUGUGGGCAUCCCAUUCCAUGGACAUAGGGCACAGACAACAGAAAAAGGAGAAAAUUAGCUGAAUACCAGCCUUCCUGCUUUUUAUUUCCUGAGUGUGAAUACAAUAUGACUAGCUUCAGGUGCUGUGACUUCUCCACAGUUAUGGGCUCUACUCUUGAACUAUGAGCCAGAAUACAGCCCCCCCUCCUUUAGGUUACUUGUCUCAGGCAUUUUGUCACUGCAAAAGGACAAAUAACUUCUUUGUGUCUCUGUCUACUUCUCCCAAACAAUUGUUUAUUGAUGAACCCAUACUCUUUUUUUAAAAAAAGUUUUCAAACUAUAUUUUUCAAAUUGCCUAAAGGAAAAUAUUUCAAUCAGGUUUGACUAGAAGAAAUAUUGGCUUUAGGAAACUCUCAAUAUCUUUUUUUGUCUUUUUAUAAUAUGAGAAGAAAUUGAUGAUCAAUGCUUAGAUCCUUUAUGAUUCUAAAAUGUAAAAAUCUGAUUUUGUUUGCUUCACAGUUAUUAUCUACGUGAUGUUCCCAAGAGAAAUCUCCUUUGGUUGCUACCUAGUUAUUCAGUGGUAUAGUUGAAUAAGGAAGGAAGAAUAGGUAUAUUAUCCUUUAUCCAUUUUAUUAGUUUUCAAAAUUCUAAGUUAGAUGUUAACUAAUAGCUUACAUGCUCACUUUUUUAUAUCAUUGGUCUUAAAAUUUUAACCAUUUAUGGUAUUUUCAACUCAUUCAUUUCUAUUAAUGAUAAGCAUUUCUAUUCGACUUUGUAAAUCUUUUAGAUUGACUGCUGAGAUCUUUGACAAUAAUCUUAGCAGUUCUGGACAAUUUCCUGAAUGUAUAGUAUGGCAAUACAAGCUGGAGCCAUUGCUGCUCCAGGCCUGGAAUCAACUACUUCUUCAAAGUCCCCAGAUUCCUAUUAGUGGGAAAUAUGCUGGUGCUAAGAAUAAGAAGUAUGAAUAGACUGCUCAUUUGUUUAAUUAUUUUGAAUUUGCUUUAAUUAUUAUAUUAUGUCUUGCUAAGGGAUACACUAAAAUUAGUAUUUAAAGUAAUUUUGAACAAUCUCUAUUAUCAAAUAAAUACCAUUAUUUUUCAACAUUUAUUUUCAAUUGUUGCAAUUGCUUUAAAAUCACUUUAUAUUUUGUGAAUUUGGAAACAAGAUAUUCAAAGAAGUUUAUGUUAUUUUGCAUGUCUUUUUAUUCUUUAUUUUUAAAAGAAGCUAUUACUUUCAGUUUCCAGUUUUAUUUUUUUCCACUUUGCAAAAAGAUAGUUAACUAUGCAUCUAAAAUAUUAGAGAUAUGUUUAAGAUAUUGGAUGUGUAAUUAGAUAUUUGUCUCAUAGAUUUCAUUUCUGAGGUGACUGGUGGCAAUCUUUGUACAAGUUUCUUCACCUUGCUUUCUAUUUAUUAAUUUCAUUUAAGCACAUAUCUUGAUUAUAACUACACAUUUGCAUACAGAGAUCCUCUUCAUUUUAUUUGAGAGUUGCAUAGCAUCCUGGGUGUAGCCAUAGAUUAUAUAACUAGCCCUAUCAAAGGAUAUUGGGGUUUUUUCAAAGUAAUAAUCUAACAGUAAUUAACUUUCUACAAAUGAGUUUUUUGUCAGGGUUUCUUUGGGGAAAAUCUUCAAAGAAACUGCUGCCAGAACAUAAUGUAUAAAUAAUUUCUCUAGAUAAUAACAAAUUACCUGCUAUAGACAUUGUGUGUUAUGCAUUCAUAUAGGCAAUAUGUGACAGUCUGUUGCCAUUUAGGCUAUUGUAAAAGUUUCAGAAUCUAAAAGCAUUCAAAUUGAACAAAAAUGAUAUGUUUAUAAAAUAUAGCAUGGUAAAAAUUGAUUUUUUUUCUGAUCAGAAUGGAAAAGUAAACAAUUUUGGAGGUGAUCAGCUUCUCCCUCAUGACCUCAAGAAUUUUGUUUAGCUCACCUAUAGGGAAUUAAAACAUAUGCACAUACAGGUGUGUAUAUAAACAGUGUCAUAAACAUAAUCUUUUUUAAAGACUGCUGGGGAACCUAUAUGGGACCUAACCCUGCCCUGUGCAUGUGGGCAACAGUUUUGUAGCCUGGUCUGUUUGUGAGAUUCCUAGCAGUGGGACCAGGGUCUAUCCCUCGGCAUGAGCUGGCUUUUUGAAGCCCUUUGCAUAUGGUCGAAGCCUUGCUCAGCCUUGAUGGGGGGCGGGGUUGGUCAUGGUUCAACUAAAUAUGCCAGGCUUUGUUGACUCCCCAUGGGAGGCCUUACCCUAUCUGAGGAGUGAAUGGGAAUAGGCUGAGGGGAGAGGAGGGGAAGGGAGAAGAAGGGAGGGAAAGACAGCUGUCUUCUCAGGUGAUAAUUGUAUCUCAAACUUCUAAAACCUGUGAGCUUAUUAUUGGUUUCAUGAGACAGGAUCUUUCUAUGUAGUCCUGGUAGCCACCAACUCUUGAUCCUCCUGUCUUUACCUGCAAACUACUGGUACUACAGUGGCAUACUACCAUAUCCAGCCUGAGCUUAUAUUGCUUAAGCCAAGGCUUCAUAAAGGAAUGUUUGAAUAGGUAAUGAUUUAGUGGAUGUCGUCACUUAAAUAAUCUUCUUAGGAAAGGAAAAGAUGCUCAAAGGCAAACAAACAUCUACAUUAUAUGAAUGUUAUUGCUAUUAAAAUAAUGAGCAUAGUUAUAAAAUAUUAUUCAUAAAGAUAACAAAUAAUUAAAUAAUAAAAUAACCUGGACAGAAACUGUCUGGAUUGUAUUAUUGAAUACUAAGUUGUAUACAGAAGGAAAGAAGCAGAGAGACUUAAAUUUCUAGUCUUGUUGGUAGAUGAUUAGCAGGCCUUUAAAUCUACUAUUUUCUGUAAUAGUGGAAUAAAAACGCAGAGAAAAUGUAAAUGUAAUCAAAUAAUGCAAACUGAAAAACACAAGGUUUAAGCCACUUGAGAUAAAAAUAUUAAAAUCAUAAAUAAGACAUUUUAAAAGAGAAAUUAAACAAGAAAAGUAAAAGAACACCCAAAGUCAAAGAACGAGAGAAGGUUCUCUUGUUACUUGCAUCCAGCACAUCGGAAAGAAACGGGAUUUAUAGGACAAGAUUAAAAGGAACAAAUGACAUUAGGAAUAGUGCAUGGCCGUCAUGUUUUUUGGACUCUUAACUUUGAAAACUUAAUGGUGUUCCAAGACAAUCUUCUCAUGUAUUUAGCCUUUCCAGUGUAGUAACUAGAGCAUGAUUUCUGCUUGAGUCCCCUGUGGCUAAUACAUAAAUAUAAGGCUAAGAAAAUCUGACUAAACUCCUUGGUGCCAGACCAGGGGUCAGGAGUGAGGAAGGACAAAGGGGCUCCAAGAAGAAUGUUUCCUUACCACACUAGACAGAAACAUCAUCUGAGAUCUUGGCUCUGGGAUAAGUCAAUGUAGACUGCAAUCCUUGGUGUAGAAAUGCCAUUAAUAUCAAAUGCCAAUGAAUUCUUAAUCACUGCUGCUCAUAAAAAUGAUUAUCCUUUUUGGUAUUGGUGACACUGUCUAUUCCCUCUUAUCUUUCUUAUGGUUGUGGUUGUGUACAUUAUCUGAAAUCUUAGACCUUUAGUCUUCUCCAUUUCUCUCAAAAGGACUUAAAGGAAACAGAAACUAAGUUUCUAGUCUCAUUGAUGGGAGAUUAGCAGGGUUUUAUGUAGUUGGACUUCUUUGUUGGGACCAUUGGCUACCCAAUAAUGACACAGAGACUUAUUAACUAUGAAAGCUCAGCCAAUAGCUUAGGCUUGGUUUUAGUUAGCUCCUAUAACUUACAUUAUUCCAUUUCUAUUAACCUAUGUGCUUCCUUAAGGCUUGUUUACCUCAUCUAUGUAUUUCUGUCCUGCUUUCCUGCCUUCUCUGUGUCUCCUUAUGGCUCUGCCCUUCUUCUUCCCAGCUUCCUUUGUGCCUGGGAAUCCUGCCUGGUUAUUGGCCAUUUAGCUUUUUAUUAAACCACUCAGAGUGACACUUCUUUACAGUGUAUAAAACAUUAUUCCACAACAGUUUUAAAUAUGCUUCAUAGUAUAAUAGAGAAAUAAAAAACUAAAGCACAGGUAAAAAGCUAAUGUAAUCAAACAAUAUGGAUGGAAGCAACACAGUUUCACCCACUUGUUCUGGCUCUAUCUUUUUCCUAGUGAGAAAUGCUAUCCCUUCCAAGGAUAAACAGUAAGAUGCUGUCUUGGAAGAAAGUGGUAAUUCUCAUCAGGCAAGGAACCUGCUGGCUUUUUCAUUUUGGAUGCUCUAGUUCCCAGAAAUAAGAGAAACUAUGAUUUUGCUCUUUAUAAAUUAUCCAGUAUGGGACAUUCUGCCAUCAUAGCACAAGCUGAGUAGGACAAUUGCUGUUUGUUUAUGGGGAAAUUUCUAUUAAGAUGUUAAAAAGAUAAAAUAAAAUCCUGAAAUGAGGAGCCAGAAACUUCUAGAUUUGAAUUUGGGGGAAUAUUCAUGGGCAUUAGAGACAUUUUAGGAUGCGGAUGGUUUGACAAAUGAGGCAGGUCCAUCAUGUAUAAAAAUCUUAACUGUGAUCCUGGCCAGCAUUAAGAGAUCCAAUUUGACUGUGGCAAGGGAUUUGGUUAGUAUUGUUAUUCUAUAAUUAAUAUUUCCAAUAAUUCUUCUUCAGAGUUUUAGUCAGAGACAAGUAGAUUAUGUAAAUAACAUCUCAGGAGCAAAUUAGUGAGAGGGAAGAUAGGGAGGGGGAGGAAGAAAGAGAAAGAACAAACAGGCAAGUGAUGCUCUGAUGAAACUCACUCAUUAUAAAGGGUGAAGAUGGCAGAAAAGCAGGUAAGCUUCCAAACUGUUCCACUAUAUUAUAGAGAAGUCACUGAUUAGUCAGAUAGGAAGCUCUGUUGGAUAAACUGUUUGAUCCCCAUUCCUAAAUAAAUUUUCUGCAAAACUAUCAUAAACUUGUAACUUCACACAAGCUCCUCUAAGCCUGUGAAGCUCAGCCUGAUCAAAGAACUCAAUACUUAUGACUGUUUUCUAACCACUGACAGCAUCUCCAAUGUUAUGAAUUAUUCAUGAAUAUGCAUAUGGUUAGUACGGCUUUUGUGUCACUCCCCACUGCCACUUAAUUUCUUUAAUUUCAACACUAUGAUGAUUUAGAAAUAGAAUAGAGCUCAUAAAAGCAUGCUAUUAAUUAUUUGAAUUAUGUAAAAGUGAAGAAUAUUAGAAAAAUAAUAGGGCAAAUAUUCAUGAACUUCAUUCAAGUUGAAAGAAGUGAAUGCCUUGCUAAUAAUUUAGAAUACAAAACAGUGCGCACACCCUAAUGCCCUUCCUAUAGUCUUUCAGACAACAUCUUUUAAGUCAGUUCUUACCUUAGGGUUUUGUCUUAUAUCCUGCAGAGAGCACAAAUACGACGUCCUCAUGAAAAUGCACAUACUUCACAAAUACACGCCUGGAGCUUCCAGCUUGUCCCGUCUUCUUCGCUCAAAUGGUUUGUCAUAACUAUAAACAAACAAAACUGUUCCUCUCUUUUCCCUCCAGAGGUUUGGUUCAUUCAUUAUAGCUAGACUAUAGUAUUGCAUUACAUAAAUAAAUAAUAGUUACCUAUAUUCUUCUAACCAAGAAACGUAGUAUUUCUCACUUUCACUAUUGCUAACAGUGCUGCCAUUAAAUGCUUAGGAUUUAUCUCCUUGUAGGAGAAUGGGGCGACCACUGCCCAUCUCAGAAGCAAGUAUUCUCCAAAAGGGAAGUGUUUUGUGGGUGCUAUUGAGCAGUAAGUGGAGGACUCCAGUGGCUGGUGGAGUUCUUUGUCUUUAGGCUAGCCAGAGGUUUUCUUUUAUAAGCACAUCUGUAGGCUGGUACUUUGUCUGUGUAUCUUUGGAAAUCAACCUUGGUCCUACAUCCUGUGUACCUCACACUAAUUUUGAAAAAAAAAUUACAGUGAUAUUUAAAAAAGGAGGCAAUAUUGUAAUCACUUACUUAUUCAAUUUAGAAUGCCAUGUGAAAGACAGCUGUAGAUAAGAUGCAGGAGGAAAGUGGGCUUCAAAACAGGAGAAGUGAUUUUCUCCUGGUAAAGCAUGGCUAUUUUUACAGUGUAUUUUUAUUCUCUCUUUAAUUAUCUUUAAUCUGCUCUGUUAUGCUAUAGCUGCUCAGAAGACAGGGAUCUCUGGCUGAAUGUAAACAUGGCAUUUUGAUCCACAAAGAGGUUAUAAAAUUGAUGUGCAGCCAAUGUUUUCUCACUCAGAAAAGAGAUAUACUAGCGUCCUUUCUCUGUCAAUCAAAAUGGUCCUGCUAGUUACCUAGGCAGGAGAAUGCCCUAUUAAGAAAGCUGUCUACUCUAGGGACUUUAAGAAAUAGCACAAAGGCCAUUCUGCAUGUGAGUUGGAGCAAUGGGUUCUUUGGUUGUUGCCUGCUCUCAGCCUUGAGAGUCUGCAUUACCUUUUAAUACACUCCACCCAUCUUCUACAUCUUAGUCUGUGUGUCUGAAUUCUCUUGACGGAGGAGAGUACAUGAACUUGAGAGCAAAGGGGAGACCAGAGUGAGAUCCCAGAGAUGCUAUGUCAAUUUGGCAAGGUCCUAAGUAGACUGCUCCUGGUGCCCAUUUCAGUAUCCAUCUGAACAUUAAAACACAAAUUUAUGGAGGAUGGUACCCCUGUUGUCCCCUUGACAUCUUCUGUCUCAUUUCACACUCAUAUAAUAUUGAUUUUUAUGUCCUCUUGAUGUUCAUAAUCUAAGGGCCCCUAUUCCACCUUCAAGUUAAGCUAUGUGUGGAAAAUGCUGUUGCAUUAUCCCAUCUUUUAUAAAUAGAAGCCUUUUAAAUGUAAUUUUGUACUUUGCCUUUUAUACUUGUUAUUUAAAAAGAAAAGAAAGACAAGGAGAAAUUUCUCUUUACAAAGCUGCUGUAAACCAGCAAACUAAUAGCUUUAGAGACUCGAGAAGUAUUUUUGCAUACAAAUUAGGAGCCAUUUUAUUGUUUUCAUUUGAUGAAAUAGAUUGUUAGGUUUAUUUUCUGUUUGGUUUGAGUUAAAGGAUAUACGGGAAGAGGAAAAAAAGAUGCAAUGAUUUAAGGAACAGUGCAAGCCAAGAGAAGCACCUCAUAAUCUAGCAUUAUCAAUGCCUCAAAUCAGUGAAGAUCACCUAUUUCUAUAUACAGGAAGAAAAUACUUUUAAAGCAACUUAAACCUCAGUGCUUGAAGCUAUGAGGCAGCAGUAAGCUGCCCAGAGCUAACUUGUUUAUGCCAAGCUCCUUCUGCUAGCAACCUUCAAAAUAGGGAAAGGUCUGCAGUCACCACAGCGUUUGAAACACCAUCCAGCUCCACAAGGCACAAUCCUUUGUCCUUUACUGAAUUCAGAGCCCAGAUGUCUCUUUGAUAUAGGGUGAAAUACCUAGCGAUAUUGGAAAGGGAAAAGUGUGAUUAAGAGUGGAAUCAAGGGUUUUGAUUACAGCAGGCAUUUUAACACCUUUACUGUUGCAGAAUUUCAAGCUGGUGUCUAUGAGGCUAUACUGAAAUUGAUGUGAAAAUUUUACACUGCUUGAUGAAAUUUUCACCAAAUGGCCUUUUCUGUAAAAGUCAGAGAAGUCAUUUUGUGACGCACUAGCAAGCAUCAUUAGUGGGGACGGUGGCGGAGGCCUGAGAGUUUAAUGCAUUCUGGGAAACUACCACUUGGCAAAGUCUCUUUGUGGUUGUUUUAUAGUGUGGAGCUUCACUCUGCAAUAAAAAUAAAACCAAAUUCAUUUGGGCUAGGUCUUUUUGUUGCUUUAUUUAAUUUUCACUUUGGCGUUUGGCCCUUAAAGCUUUAACAGGGCAGAUGUGGCUUUGGAAGGGCUUACUAAUUCAACUGGGUUAAUGGCUUCCACGACAGAGGCCAGCUCAGCAGUUUAGCCUCAUUCUGUCUUUGGUUCUCCUUCCUCUUUGAUUUUCCCUCUGGUGGAAAACUUUCCACGGGGCAACCUAUUAUCAGUAGAUGUUUAUUUGACUUUUGAGGUAACUGCCUUAAACUUUCUGGUCUGCAGAGGCACAGACAGAACCGAUGCCGCUAAACCAGCUCUUAAAGCCCUGGGAAAGAGAAGAAGGGUGUUUGCCAUUGCAAGUCCUUUCAUGGUCUGCAGAACCAUGCCCACAGCUUGAUGUGCAACACAGAUUCAGCAGUGUUUGGAAAACCCCAAAUGAGUUAGAAUUUGUGGUGUUCCCGGGUCAGUGCAGGUUUGUGGAAAGAAGAGUGGAAUUGGUAUUGGAAAGUUGAUUCUUUAAUUCCCAGGACUGAAGAACGCUCUAAAACUCCCUGAGUCUAAUUCCUAACAGUGUUUAACAGUUAUAUUUAUGAUGUUAUGGGAGGAUUUCAUUUUAGAAACUAUAGUUAUACACAUAAAAACUAAGAGAUUAAGGAAAAUGUGUGCUCCCCCCCUCUCUCUCUCCCUCCCACCCUCUCUCUCUCUCUCUUUCUCUCUCUCUCUCUCUCUCUCUGUGUGUGUGUGUGUGUGUGUGUGUGUGUGUGUGUGUGUGUGUGUGUGUGCACCCUGGUGCAUGGGCAGAGGUCAGCCUGUUUUCAUUGUUUGAGAUAGAGUCUCUCUCAGUCUCUGUCUCUGUCUCUGUCUCUGUCUGUGUCUCUGUCUCUCUCUCUCUGUCUCUCUCUGUCUAUCUCUGUCUCUCUCUCUCUCUCUCUCUCUCUCUCUUUUAGUAUAUACCACUGCAUAGAUGUAUCUGGGUGGCCCGCUUCCAGGGAUUCACCUGUCUUCUCCUUCCAUCUUAAUGUAGGUGUGCCAGGACCACAGAUGUGCACCACUAUGACUAGAUUUUACAUGGGUUCUGGGGUUUUGAACUCAGGCCUAUACUUACACUUUUGUGGCAAGUGCUCAACUCUUUGAGCCCAACUCAUGAGGGAUUCUAAUUAUAUUAUUUUCAUCAUUGAUUAAGCAUGUUUUAGCCAUCGAUUUCCCAUUUCUUCAAAUGCACACUACUUUAGCUUUAUCCAAUGCAAUAUCUAUAAAACCUCAAUGCAUCAGUCAUGUUUUUAUUACGCAUUAAAAUAAAUGUAGGACUAUCCCUCAAACAUUGUGAACAAUGAUAUUAUACUCAGGGAGGCUGACCACAGUAGCUUUAGUUGUGUUCAUCUAUAAUUCCCAUCUGCUACAACAGGAACGUUUAUCCAAUUAGCUUUCUGAUGUUCUUGUUACAUAGUGAAAUGUUUGGCACAUGGAAAAGGAGAUCCAAAUCAUCAGAAAAUUGCCCUGAAUGCAUUUCUUGUUUACUUGGGAAAAGUAUCAAGUGGAGAAAAUACUCCUUCCUCUUGAGGAGUGCCUGCAUCAAAGCUCUGCAUCCCACACAGCAGGGCUUCCUUCCCUAGCAGUCAACCAGACUUCCCGAGAGCUUUCCCAGAUUACUGCAGAAACAUCUAGGGUCAACCAUUUUCUGCAUGAUUCCCCAGUACUCUCUAUUAGAACCAAUCUUCAUAUUUGCCAAGAAUUCCUUACUCCCUUCCUUUUGCUCUCUACAUCACAUGCAGACACACACACAAGCGCGCGCGCACGCGCGCGCGCACACACACACACACACACACACACACACACACACACACACACCACAUACCACCAUACACACACACAUACACAUAAAACAGACACAGCACACAACACACACACACACACACACACACACACACCACAUACCACCAUACACACACACAUACACAUAAAACAGACACAGCACACAACACACACACACACACACACACACACACACACACACACACACACGGAUUAUUUACCUCUUCCUGAAAACUUCAUCGUUAUUUAAUAUUGUUCAAGUCCUGAGAUGGUUGAAAACAGCAUGGCCCUGUGCUGUCUCAGAAUCCUAGAUUUGGAUGUAAGUUCCUCAGGAUACAUGCUAUAAAAUUGUGAAUAUCCUCAAACUUUCUGUGGUAACCCAGGACACAGAUACUAUAGGCACAUGAAUUCUCAUAUCAGUUAAACAACAACAACAGAACCUCUCUGAGUUCAGAACACAUCUGUACACAGUGACUAGCUCACAGUAUACACAGUCAAUGAUGCCUGGCACCAUGGCGAAUGGGCAAACAAAGACUCAAAGCCAGUGAAAGAAUAAACAGCUGGAAAAAAUUCCAAAGAUGUUGUUUUCUGUUUAAUAGAGUGAAAAGCCAGUAAAGAACAUAAAAUAAUAACUACAAUUACAUUGACUGAAACCUAUAGGGAAGGAGUUAUUCUAGAGUAUCAAAUUUCCUGGACAGGAGAAACUUUGAAGCAUCUAUUUACUUUUGUGCAAAUUCUUCCUAAAAUGGUAUUUUACUUUUGCAGUUUGUUACAUUGAGCAGAUUGUGAGUAAUUUAACCUUGUCUUAAAUACUUAAUAAUAAAAACAGCAUCUUACAAAAUAAUUAAAAUGAUAUGGAGAUCUAGACAUUUCAGGAGCUUCCUUUGAGUAAUUUUCGACCAUGCUGUGAAAGUCAUGUUUGUAACUGAGAGGGGUCCAUACAGGAAGGAGCCUUGGCAACAUUCUCUGUUUCCAUCAUUUUACAAUGUUUCUCUUGCAUGGUGAUUGUUCCAGAGACACAUUGUUGGAAAAGUAAUGUCACUUGUUAAGGAACCACACAGUUAUUCUGGUAUUUACAUGCUAGCUUUAAUACUUGACUCGUCCACUUGGCAUGUGUUUGCAGAAGAAUAUAUACCAAUUGUGCUCAGAUUUGAAAUAUUUCCACAUUCUUCUAAGGGACUGCAUCAGUCACAGAUGUAGGACUUAAGUAGUAAAUGUUUGUUGACCACAGUGAUGGCAGGCAUCCCACACUCUUAACUUUUACAUCAGUUCACUUGUCCAGUCACUAUUGUAACUGUGCGAAGGGCUAAGCCUCACUUCAAUGUUUUAUAUAUGAAAAAUGAGGCAAACUAGUUUGGCAACACUGAUGAUAGAAGAGGUGUGUGGCCUUCGCUUGCUCUUUGAAUAGUUUAAUUUUUGUUUUUAAUUAUAUGUAUGUGGUACAGAUGGUAGAGGCCAGAAAUAUCCAGGCAGGCAAGAGGAGUUGGAUUACCCCUGGGGCUGGGGGUGGUUGUGAACUGCCCAGUGUGGGUGCUGGGAAUCAAACUCAGUUCCUGUGGAAGAGCAGUCCACACUGUUAACCAUGGAGUCACCUCUGCAGCCCCGUCUUCCUCUUUCAUGGCACCCUUUUGUCUUCUCUGUACAGAUAUGAUCAUCUUUGGCUCUGCUGUCUGUUGUACAUUCUUGGUGACAAGUCUUACUUUACACUGGACACCUAUUCUCUUAGUUAUUGAUUUUAAUGUAUCCUUUGAAGACAGGAGUGUAAGAAUGAAAACUAAGAAGUUGGUAUGAGACUGGUAGAUAAGGCUUUCUGAUUUCAAAUUUCAGCAUGGCAGAAAGUAAUUAGCAUUCCCCUCUUGGGGACUUUUCUCCUUUGGCAAGCCCCACACUCAUGGCAAAGUUACCAUGAGUUUCCUCUCUUUCUUCCCCACUCCCAAGUCCCCGCUACAUUCAGGGCAGCCAGGGAAAUCAGUUCUAUUUACCUUAUUAGAUAGAGCCACUCACCUCUCUCUUUUCAUCUACUUUUACUUUGAAUUACUUGCAUAUCUAAAGAGAAUUUCCAGGCAUCCUCCUAAAAAAUGAGCUGUCUCUUCUAGACCAUGGAAAGGCAACUACUGCUAAUUUUUGUUUCUUUGUUUUCAAUACUGAUGCAUUUUCUUCUUACAGCAUCUAUUAAUGGUAAACUAAAAAAAUCUUGAAACAUAUUGUAAUAUGAAUUCUGGCACUGACACAUAAUAUUGGAGAUUGUUGUGUUUGUAGGAAAACAUUCACUUACUAUUAAUGAUCAAAGCAGAUUACAGAUUACACACAAGACUGCCUGCAGUUUGAUCCUCUCUUCCUCUCCACUCUUCUGCCCCACCCCCUUCUACUUUCUCACUUCUCCAACAGAAGAAUUCAGGAAGACUCUUGUAGAAAUUGUCUAUUAGUUAUUCCAUAACUAAGUAAUCCCUGUCAGGACCUAUUGUAACAUGCAUGGUCAUUUACUUUUGUUCAAAUACUCUUAGCCACUGAUAGGCUCUAGCCUUUGUUAAUGGCUAAUAAUGACUAAGGGCUUACUGUGUGCCAAACAUGGUACUGUGCGAGACACAGGUAUUAAAUUAUUUAAACUCAUUAAGAAUAACCCAAUGAGACAUGUACCCAAUGAGGCCCAACACUACUUACCCUACUUCUUUUAUAGUUGAAUAUACUGAAGCACAGAGAAACAUUUUGUUCAAUUCAUAGAAAGGUAGACUUGUAUCCACAGUCUUAUCAUUUGUGUCCCCUUCUUUCUGACAUUUCUUCCUACUUUGGUUGGCUGUGCUUCAACAGUCCUUUAGUGUCUUUAAUGUGUGCUCAUGUUUUUAUUUACAUAGAAUGGGGAUACUUAGAACUAAUAUAAUUUUACUUAUGAAAUCAAUAUCAUAAAUGUUAUGUACAAUGUUAAAUACCUUCUGAUCAAAGGCAUGUUUAUAAUAACUCUUUUGGUCUUCAUGUAUAGAAAGGAAAUAUCUUUUCGUCUCAGUUAAAGCCCUCAUGGUUUCACACAGGUAGGUGGCUCUUUUCAGUUGCUGAAUAGCAGGAAAUCUGAAUAUCAUGUAUUUGCUAAAGUGGCUAUGAUCUUCAUGCUGUUAACUAGUCAACCAUUCACUUGUCUUCAGAAGAACUCAGAGACAAGAGGUUCUAUUGUAUAUCUGGUGCCUCCAAUGAUAAAGACAGGGAGUCCCCAGGCCUAUAAACAAUAUAUUUUAGUUGGAAUGCUCUUUUUAUUUACAUAGGAAGAGUUUAUAAGUAAAGGUGGGGAUCCUGGGCAGCUUAGUGAUAGUCACAACAGAUUUCACGGUAGCAGACCACUUUAUUUCCAGAUAAUUCAGACAGGUCCUGGACAGGCUUCUAGGAAGUUGCUGCCUCCAGUCAUUUGCUUCCUGGAGGGAGCAGGGGGUGGACCAGCUGGCAGGAGAACAGUGGGGCUGGUAGAAUAUUGUUGUGGGGUUGUUUUCAUCCUUUUCCAAUCUUUGCAUGGCUGGAUAGGAGUUUCUCUCUUGCUGAGUGCAGGCCAUAAGUGUAUUACAACAUCAGUUCCCCAUAAGGGCUGGACUAUUUAUAUCUACUUCCACACACUUUAGUAAUCAAUUUCCCUCAAGUUUCCUUCUUAAUAUUUUUCUUUUAACCUCAAAAGAAAAGAUCAAAGGUAGCUGCCCAAUGUGACAAUGCUCUAAAGAGGGGAAAAUGACACCGAGUUCCAGCUGAUAAGACUAGAAGUGUUGUUUCUCUGUGGUUUCCAAAGCAAAAUAAAUGGUAAGGAUUCAACACAGAGCUCCUGGACAAAGAGCUCACUUGCCUGUAAGUUGGUUUCCCCUGCACACUGAGAUGUGCAGAUGGCUCGGGAGCAAAUGCUUUUGUGUGGAAUUCAAUAUCUGAUCUUUCUGGUGGCUUAAUGUGUAUUUCUGCUCUUCUCACUUCCCUCUGUUCCCUCACCUCUUGACACAAACAAUUAGAGCUGUUCUGUUAGUGCACGUGUAACACAUCAAUGCAAGAACAUCAUAGAAAGCUCUCGGGCAUUUCUGGGGCAUUCUCUACACAACAUCUGCCUACACUAUGGCAGGAGCCCGUCCUUUAGGUGUCAGAGUGGCUCUUCUCAGGCCCUUUGACAGCUCUUCUUUUGUUAUUACAGUAUGUCAACCUGGAUUUGCUCUGUCACACAAAUGCGCCAUCAGUAGCUUGGUGUUUUGACAGUUUUAGUUGUUUCUCCUUGUAGCAUAUUGUCACACACACUGGAAAGAAGAAAUAUAGUUUGCUAAAUAUAAAUCCCCCUGGAUAAGGGGAGAACUAGCUCCUGGGCAAAAAGCUAUCAAGUAUUUUUGUGUUGUUUUGUUUCUUGUUGAGUCAUGUUGUUUGGUUUCAUAGAUGAUGAUACUGUUUUAAUAUGUAGUCAAAUAGCAGGCACAUAAAUAUUUCUGGCGUAUCAAAUGCAAGUCCUUUCAUUUUGUAUAGUUACUGAGAAAAACAAGGAUAUGCCAGAGUUACUGAGGGAAUGUAGCAGGGAACAUCCAUGAUGGAAUUGCAGGUUCUUUGUAUCUUGACAACGAGCAGAGCAGGAAACAGAGGGACAGCUGUGAAAGCACAGAUUCAUUAAAUGUAAGAGUUCGGGGCACACAGAGGAAAGGGGAAGUGGAAAAUGUAAGUGUUGUGGAAUAUUAGUGUAAGAUGUGUCUGGGAGUUUUACCGUUCUUUAUUCUAUAUAUCUUUCUUUCCUUCUUACUCUGUGGCUAGUCUUGGGCCUGGAUGGCUUGCUCCUGGCAUCUCCCUCUCCUUUUCUUUUCUCACUCCUACCCUUUUCUGGAUUUCUCCUUCUAUUUACCUUACAGAGUUAAACCAAUGCAACAGAAAAGAAUGCAACACGUCAUUGCAUCAUUAAACAAAUGUUCCACAGCAUAAAUGAUUAUAACACAUCUUAAACUAAUAUUCUACAACAUGUAAUUAUAUUAUAAUCUUAAAAAAUAGUAAAAAAGAAUGAGACUGGGGCAAACAAUUCAUUCCACGGAUUAGAACUGACUGGGUUGGGGCAAGCAUGCAGCUCUAGAUCCCUAGUUCACAAAUCCUGGUUUUUCUUCACAGCAUGGAGAGUGGGCCUUGUCAAAGCAGUAGACUUCUCUUGGAUGACCAGUUUCUUUGAUGGUUAGAUGGGGUUGUAUAAUCUUCUCUCCUCCUCCCUCCCUCCUUCCCUCCCUUCCUCCCUCCCUCAUUCUCUCUCUCUCUCUCUCUCUCUCUCUCUCUCUCUCUCUCUCUCUCUCUCUCUGUAUGUGUGUGUGUAUGUGUGUAGGUGUGUGUUUGAUGCAUGUUAGAGUUUAGGAAACCUCAGGUGUUGUUCUCACCUACUUUGCUUUGAGACAAUGUAUCUCCUUGUUCCUUACUGUUUAUGUAAAUGAGACUAAUUGGCCAGUGAGCUUGCAGGCAUUCUGCUGUCUCCACUUCCCAUCUCAUCAUAGGAGUGCGAUUAUUACAGAUGCAUUCUACUGUGUUCAGCUUGACGUGAGUUCUGGGCAUCUCAACUCAGCUCUUCACAUUUGCUUGGCAAGUGGUUUUAUUCACUGAGACAUCGCCACAGCUCAGUCUGUACAAUCCUUGGGAUAGCCUUGACAGUUCUACUUUCCUUGUUACUGGGUCCAGAGCUAACUUUCUUAUGGCUCACAUUUCUGUAUGCCUGGCCCUAUCUUACUAUAUCAGCAAUACCAACCUCACAGCAAUUGGAAUUACAUAGGUUUUGCUUUAUCAAAAGGACUCUGUGUGUGGCUAUGUAUGCUCCCCUAGAGUCUGUGACUUGGAAAAGGUUGACUGGAUGCCAGCAUAGACAUUCCUCUACAUACUCAAGUAAUAAGCUCCCUUGGAGAUAUCUGGGCUCCAGCACUGACUUAAAGGGAUACAAUGAACUGUUUAAAAAUAAAUAGGUCUCUGCUGUCCAGCUCAGUUGGUGGAGAGUGUAACUCUUCAAUGUCCUUUGACUCUAUUCUAAUUCCCAAUAGGAACAAUAGAUUACAGUGUGUAAGCUCACAGUACAUUUUCUCCAUUUCAAUCCUCAUAAAUUCCUAUUUUAUAUCUUCUGUUUAGAUUACUUUUUUUAUUUGAUCAGACAUUUGAACAGACAAGCUAUGGUGUUUUGAAUUAAAAAUAUCUCCUUUAAGCUCAUGCAUUUGAAUACUUGGUCUCCAGCUGGUGGUGCUGUUUGGGAAGGUCAUGGUAGAUAUUUAGGAGAUGGAACUUUCUGGGGAGCAGCAUCCACCCAUUUUCUCUAAUGGUCCCUUGGGUUUGGAAUGUCUUAUGAUCUCUUGGGUAUUUUCAACAUCCCUAUCCUUCAAUGACCAAUUUAGAUGUCAUUCUCACAUUUGCUCUAUUCAAUAGACAACUACCUGUCCUCUCUCUUAAUCCACAGAGCUCUUGUGACCCUAGUGUUUCCCUUAUUUUUCCUUGUAUUCCAGCUAGUUGACUGUCUCUUGCAAUGAUUAAAUUCUUCAAGUACAGGGCACAUUUCUUCUAUUCUCCUAUUUGCACAUGGUAGGUGUUCAGUAACUGAAUGCAUGAAUAAAAGACCUUUAGAAAGACCUCAGCACUGUGAGCUCCUGAGAUCCUUCAUGGGCACCAGGCAUGGCUACCUUACGGUGAGGAGCCUGACAGCCUUGAGUCUGAAUAAGUCAUCUUCUAGUGACUCAGCGUUUCUGGGUGAUAAAUCAUCUGAAGGAGCUGAGCCUGAAAACAAAUUUUCUCUCUAAUGAUUGGUGUUGUUCUUAGGCUUUAAGAAUUUAUUCAAGAGGAAUUUGAGUAUCCCCAUUAUAAACUGCAUACAUAUUAUAAAUGUAAAAACAAGAGCAUUAACAUAGAAAUGAAUCAAUAAAACCAAAAUAAUAAAGUGAGAAAAGAAAGCCAGAAAGAUGACCUUACUUGCCUCACUGGGUGUGAGCCUAGCCUUUAACAGCUGUGUCAUCUCUCCAACCCAUGAUUAGCUUACUUGAAGCAAGCCCCUACAUUCAUCGUAAAGGGCACAUUGAAAACCUUUGUGUCCUGUGUCUCUGAUAUAAUUAAACUAGAGGUUAUUAAAGCAAUUCAUGGGGGAAGAGAUGUAUUCAUUAGCACAUCACAUAAACACUAAUAGGACCAGCUACAUUUUUAUAGGACCUGUACAGAAACAAAUAUUGAGAUCUCUACUAAGUAUUUCCAGUGUAGCUAUUUUGAGCAGCUGUGUAAGAACAUAGGGUUUCUUCCAUGUGUCUGCUUGGUCUAGAGUUGAUAGCAUUGCAUUUUGGUGGAAAGGAAUCCAUCAUUUAGCAAAAGUCUGUGACUCAUGGGAGCUCAACAAUCUGUGGAUGGUCACCUCUAGCUGGGUGCAUUUCACCUUUGUUUCUGUGUAAAUACUGCACGAGGAAAGGAGCAGGUUACAGAGAAAAGCUAUGACUUGCAAGCAGCUGAUUGCUCACAGAAACCAGAUUUCCUUACCUCUGUUUAGUCCUAAUGAGUUUAAUUAAAAGGCAGGAGGAAGUGGAGGGUAUUUAUGAGGGGCAAGUGGAUUUUGGCAAACUGAAGGGCAGAUAGUGGGCCCAGAAUAGAAGGUCAGACUCAGAGAUGUCUUUUCUCUCUCGCUUGAGUAUGUCAAAGUAUCAUCUCUUUACUUACCACCUCUGUCUUCCUUUUCACCCAGGAGCCAUGUAUUUCACCAGAGGCAUGGGUACACUUAUUCCAUUUAGAUGUUCUCAGAUGUCCAGCAACCUCUCUGGGGUCUUUAGGAACAUUAGUUCUGGCCUCACUCCAGAGAGAGUCAGGUUAGUCCACCUUGUGUCAGCAUCUACCCUGAUAGAGUCAAUACUGGGAAGGGUAUGGGUUAUAGCAGUUUAGUGCUGAACAGGGUUUUAAAGGUCAAAUGGCCAAUUUGAAGAAAAUAGACAUAUAUUUUUGGUAAGUGGAUACUAUGUAGAAGCUGGAACAUAAUGGGAACAUUCAACAAUCAGCUCCUAGUUCUUGUUCUGCUUUUGAAGGGCAUAUUGCACACUUCCAUUAGGUUAUGUUUGAUCAUAUGUACCCAGAAGGAAUGAAGCUCACUAAGUCUUAUAAUAGGUAAGAGUGUUCAGAAAUCUAUGAAGAUGGCAAAAAUGCAAGUAAUCACCCCUAUAGUAAUUUCUGUGAACUGUCAUCUUGACAAUGGUAGUGUCUGGGAAUAACAAUUAGUGGUCUAUUAUUAGUUGCCACUGUUUGUGGUGGACUUGAGACUGUAUUCAUCCUCCAGCUAUGACACUAUUCAGGUACCCAUCUUUUUUUAAAUUAAUAUAUCUAGUAGAAGACACAGAUAAAACCAACUCUCUUUCAGUUAUCUAACAGGAGGACAGUUGUAAAAGUAGCAACUAAUAGCAGCCAUUUCUUUUUACCACAUGUCUCUAUAAGGCUGGUCAGCAGGAAGACUCCUGCCUUCUUUUGUUAUACUGGCUCCCUCCUUUUUAUCUAUCCACACGGUGGGGGAAGCUCAUAGGGGUGGGAACACUUGUUCAGCCUUUUCAAUAUUCUUGCAGGAUAAUGUAGAGUGCUAGACUCUGCUGUCAUAGCACCCUGACUCCCAAUCAGAACAGAGGUAAACUCUCUCUCUCUCUCUCUCUCUCUCUCUCUCUCUCUCUCUCUUAUGCUUGGGCUCUAAAAAAGGGUCCAAACUUGCUGGACAUGUGUCUUCCUCUACUGAGCUACCUCCUUAGUUCCUUUCUACUUAGGAAAUAUAAACCUUUAAGGGCCAUGUUUAAUAUGAGCUGUCAGACCUUCCUAUGGGAAGCACUUUGAGAUUUCACUCUACAAUUUUCUUCUUUUCUGUGGUUUUUUAAGUGAUUUAAAAAAUUAAUAUGCUAUAACUUUAUUACACUUUGGUUCUUAUGACAGGAAUAUCAAUGUAAUAGUGGUGGUACAUGUUCUAACAGUUGUACAAAGCGAAGCUUACCACCAUGUACUCUGAGUCAUUAAUGAAAGGCUUGGUACCAAGUGAGCUUCAGUGGAGCUGGAAGGAAAGGUGCCAGGCAUAAAACAGCUGCCUCAAAGCAAACUGGGUAUUAUGUCCAUCUGAGAACCUAAUAGAUAUGUAUUUUCCUUUUUUAUUUCUAUUGCCAUGGGAAAUAAAAUGCCUUUUGCUGUUUUAUUUCCUCCUUAAUUCCAUAUCUUCCAAGCAACUGCGUGACAGGAACCUUUUCAUACUUUUCUCUCAAAUUCCCUUAGCUGAAAACAUUGCAGGUGUUCAAUAAAUGCUCAUGCUUUGCUUGAUCUGAACAAAUAAAUACUGAUACUUGUAAGAAAUGGCCCUGGGUUUUUAAUCAUGCUUACUGAUGCUCAGUGUCAUGCAGACUUCAUAGGAUGCAGUUUCUUUCUUCCUUGUUCCCUUUCCCUUGUAAGUGCUUUGAGUAGCACAGGUGGCCAGUGUGGGCUAGCAGUCAGAAAUCCACCGGGUUGAGAGGGCAGUCAGGCUAAACCAAAACCUGUACAGGGUCAGGGAGAAGCAAAGACUAAGAGCAUUUAUUGAACACCUGCAAUGUUUGUGUAGGAUGCCAGAGUCUGAACUGGAUGAGGAGGCUGUCCUUGUGUAUGUUGGAGAUGGAUAAGUGAAGAUAGUGAAGCAGUAUUGAGGCAGAUUCCCAGCUAACUCUUGGGCACUUGGAUGUGAAAUGGGCAAUGACACAGAUUGGAUAUUGGCUAGAGCUAGAGGAGUUGAUGAUGUAAAUAAACACAAUAAAGAAAUAGGAGUCAGUUUCUUACUAUAAGUCAUGGACUGUAAGGAUAGCAAGAAAGCUACACAACUGUUGCAAACACACAGUUGUAGCUUGGUUCUCUCAUGUGACUCCUAAGAAUCAGAUCAGGAACUGUCUCUGACUCUUUUACCGGGUUUUGGGACCUGCUUCUCAUACUGGGUCACCUUGCCUGGUCUUAAUAUAUGGGGUGCUUAGUCUUACUGGAACUUGAUAUGCCAUGUUUUGUUGAUACUCAUGGGAGACCUGCCAUUUCCUAAACAGAAAUGGAAGAGGAGUGUAUUGGGGGUGGGAGUAGGGGGUAAUCUUUACAAAAUAAAAAAGAGAAGAGCAAGCAAGAAAAAAAGUUGAACUCUAUAGACUGCACUAAGUGGUACUGAUGCAAAUAAAUGCUACAGAUUGAUAGAAAGUUGUGUGCAUAAAUACAGUGUUUAUGUAUAAAUGCCCUCAUCUGUCUCUAAAAUGUGAGAAAUAUUGUUUGUAGAACCCAGACAGCCUCUAAAAAAUUAGAUCAUGUCUAAUAAGCAUCUUAAAAUUGUAAAGAGAAUUCAGAUCUUAGAGUGAUUCUAUCCAAACCCUUCCCCAAAUCAAGGUAAAUCUGUACAUCAAAAUACUAAUUUUAAUAGAUAGCCCACUGAUGAAAUAGGAAGCUAUGCAUGCAUGAUGAUGUAAUUAUAUAAAUUAAGAAAAUACAAUGCAUAAUACUUAAAUACUUGAAGAUUCUUUUUCAUAAAAAUAGCUACCAAGACAAUUUUAGAAAAAUUCAGCAAACCCAAAUUUAAUCAUAUAAACAGCAUGAAUAUCAUCAGUGGGACAAAUUUAAAAUGUCCUAUUUGCUAAGUCAGGUAAAUUCAAACUGACUAUAAAAUAUUCUAUACAAUAGCUGUCAUGUAAUGGUCAAAGUGUUAAGAUUCUUAAAGUUGAGAAAAAGUGACUUGCAUCCUAAGGAACCUAGGUCCAUGGAUGUAGCAAGUGGAUAAGGAUGUGGCUAUGACUGCUGAAAAAACCUGGGUGGUCUCUAGAGGGUAGAUGAGUUCAGAUUAGUGUUUCCUUCCUGAUGCCGAUGCUUACAGUGUGGUUAUAGAAAAGUAUGUUCUUGUCAAUUUGUACAUAAUCAUGAUCUGUCAUUGACAAGACCUGAUGCCAAAAAGUUCUCCAAUGGCCCAGGCAAAGAAUGUUGUAACUGACUUUCCAAGGUUUCUGUAAGUUUGUGGUUGUCUCCAAAAAAAACAAACCCCAGAAAACAAACAAAACAAAGCAAAACCCCUAAAAACUCCUGACUUCACUGUAGGAAAACAUCAACUUCUCAUAAAAGUCAGAAGUUAUUCUCACUGCAAGUGCUGUCAUUAUAACUUUUUAAAAAGAGGUACUCUCUUGUACAAUCUUAAAAGAACAAAUUAAAAUGGCAGGAAUGUCCUUUGAGUUAAUCAACUGUCACUGUGCCUUUUGACAUUUCUUUGGAAGCACAACUUUGUGCUUGUGCACUAUUUUAUUUAUUUAUUUAUUUAUUUAUUUAUUUAUUUAUUUAUUUAUUUAUGAUUUGAGACAAUCUUGCUAUGUAGCAAAAUCAGUCCUGGAACCUACCUUCAGUGAUCUCCUGCCUGUAACUUCCCACAUCUGAAGAGUGUAAGCAAGCACAUGUGAGUGGAACUUUGAGACCAAGGGAAGGAUGCGAAUGUAGUCCUCUACUUUCACAAAUUAUGCAGUUGAGUUUCCUGCAUUUUGGGACAUUUCAGGGGUCAGCACGUCCAGGAGUGCAAUAGAUGAGCCAUAGCCUGAGAAAACCACCUUCAUGGUCAUGAUUAUUUCCCCUUCCAGUUGAUACACCUAGAGUCACCUGAGAAGAUGAAGCCUCAACCAGGGAACUUCCCAGAGAUUGUCUUUGUUAGUGGCUGAUGUCAGAGGCCUCAGCCCACGAUGGACAGCACCAUCUUUUGGCAGCAGGUGAGUCUCUUCCUUCAAUCCCAGUGAUAGCUGAAACUCAGGAGUCAUCAGUUGCUAAGAAGAGGCCAUGAGCCCAACUCCCCAUGGUGCUCAGAGACUUGGAAUUAGGUAUGAGGUAGCUGAAGACCAAACACCAUCUUCAAAUGCUUAGGAGAGGAAUCAAAAGUACUAUUGCUUGCUACUAAUGCCAAGUCUCCAUUUGUGCUAGCAGGAUGGCAGGCCUGAGGAGAUGGUGGCCAUUGUUUUGUGUUCUCUAAAGUAAUUGACUGUUUACUUGUUGAAGUUUUAUCUGUUAUUACAUAAGCAUGUUCGUGUAUGUUUGAAUGUUGGUAAGUAAACAAUCAUUUAUUUGUUAUCGAACACUUUCAUCCUAGUUUGGGGGAAAUUUGGCUCUAUCUUUACCAUGUACAACUGAGUAUUAUUUAUAUUUUCCAGAGAAAAUCGAUGCACACAAAUAUCUAAUACAACUUGACUUUGUGUUAGUUCUUUAUUCUGAAGGGACCAGCUCCCCAUUUUGGCAGCCAUAACAGCUGGACACAUGCUUGUCUGACCUUGUCCUAGUCACUAGAAAGUCAGAUCCCUGCCUUGUGGCAAGGAACCAAUCAGAAGUUAGCUGGUGGCACUAUGCUUUACAGUUCUGGGUGUGUUUUAUGGACAAGUGCACAGCAGUGACACGCAGAGCAUAGCAACCACCCUGGGAGGGCCUAUGGGCCAUAACAACCAAUUGGCCAAUCAACACAGGGCAAGCCCUCCAAGCCUGGAGGCACACCAAUCGUGAGCCUGUGCGUACCCCUAGACACUCCCCUUACGCUGCCCUAUAAGAUCUCUAUGCAGACACUUUGAGCUGUCUUUGCUAGCCAUCAGCCAUGGGUGGAUGAAAGAUCUGAGCUAACAUGGGGUUAGCCUGUUAAACAACAAUAAAAACUCAUGCAGUUUGCAGCAAGCUUUUGAAUCCGCCUGGUGAUUGGGGUGACCACGGUACUGGGCUAAGACCCCAGAGGCCUGAGUUUUCCAGGGGUCUAACAAUUCAAUUAAAAGUAACACUUUUUCUAAUGUUUCCUGUGCUGCCAGACCAAGAAGACAUGGUAAGAAAUAUACUUCUGCAGGUUUUCGCAUUUAAAGUUGUAAAGAUUGAAGGUUAAAAAAUUAGUAUGUAUUUGAAAAGUGUAGAUCCGAGAAUAUCGACACUUCCAUAUCUAAAAUGUGACAAGUCUUCUUUCUGAUCGUAUAUGUCAUUGUGUUUGUUUUUCUAUGAGUGUGUCCCGCCCCUGCUUCUAUCACUAAUUUUCGCAGUCAUUUUUCUAUUGCUGUGAAGAGACACCAUGAAUGACCAAGACAACUCUUCUCCCCUCUGCCCCCCACCUAGCUUAGGAGAUUUUGUUCCUUUCCCCUUCUCCAGGGUCCAAGACAACUCUUAAGAAAACAUUUAAUUGCUUAUAGUUUCAUAGAUUAGUUUAUUAUCAUCAUGGCAUGAGCAUGGUGGUAAUCAUUGAUCUGAGUUAGGAGCUGAGAGCCUCUCUCUGAGGCAGCAGAGAGAGAGAGACACACAGAGAUGGGGAGAAAGAGAAUACCUAAACUUUUGAAAUUUCAAAGCCCACCCCCAGUGUUGCACUUCCUCCAACAGGGCCACAGCUACUCCAAUAUAUCCACACUUCCUAAUCCUGCUAAUCUUUUCAGAAAGUUCCAGCCCCUUCUGACUAAGCAUUCAAGUAUUUGAGCUGAUGAGAGCCAUGCUUAUUCAAAUCAUUGUAUCCAUGACUUACCUCUACUGACUGGAAGGGGCACUGGCAUUUGAAUAUACUUUGCUUUUAAAUACAUAGAAUAUAGUCAUAAAAGUUUAAUUGAUUUUUAAAUAAAUAUUAAUAAAUAAUAUAGAAAAUAGAAAUCAGAUAACAUUUUUUAAAUAUUAAAUGAAAGACAGAAAAGAAACAUAACAACAUAUAUACAAUCUCAAGACCCAUUAUUACCACAAAUCCUUAUCCCACCAAAAAGUUUUCUAAUAAUUUUAUAGCAAGUGCCAACAGGGGAAGCAUGAUGUCAGAAAACAUCAGAGACUAAUGACAAACCACAAAAUGUUUGUUUUUGUUGAUCUUUGUUACCUCUAAUUUUAUUUUUGUGUUGUUUUCUUUUUGUUUUUAUUUUUGAGAAAGAGAAAGAGGAAUACAAGGAAUUGUCAGUAAGGAGGAGAUAGGAUCUAGGAAGAUUUUGGAGAGGGGAGAAUCAUAAUUAAAAUAUAUUGUAUCCAAAUAUUUUAUAUAAAAAUCAUUGAUCAUUAAAAAAAGAAAAUCGAUGAAGUGUGCUAACUUGAAGGGGCCACAUCAGUAUACAUGACUAUGUAAUGUAGUAAGACCCUCUGAAAUGCUAACAGCCAGACCAGAGUUCAGUCAGUAACUUGUGAAAAAAUACAUGUCCAUCCUAUGAUUCUGAUAGAAAGAGAGCUGGUGAAAAAUGAUGGCAUCGCUGCAGGAAAUGGAGCUGUGCCAGUCCCCUUUCUCAUUGUUGUGACACAUAGGACAGGAAGGCUGAUGGGAUGUUGUGGACCACUGUCUUCAGGGUGUGACAUGGUCAUUACAUUCCUGAAUGAAUAGUAUCUGUGUGUAUCUGUACACAGCCUUUACACUACUGAAUCUGUUACAUUCUGAUGUAGAAUGAAGAGGAAACACGGAGCACACACCUGUCCAUGGAGACCCCAGGUAGUUAAUUUCUUGGGUGUCGGAGACAUUUUUUUUAGUGGCAUAGUAGCUCAUGUCUCUGAUGAGCUCCAUUCAUACUCCUAUAAGGGACCCUCAUGAAACCCUUUGCUUUAUAACCCUGCAUACACAAAACAAAACUAAAAACAAACAAAAAAACAAAAAAGCAAAACAAAAACAAAAAACAUAAAACAAAAAACAGCAACAACAACCCCCCCCCAUGAAAAUAGAAAUUAGAAGACAGACUCCAAAGGGAGGGGGCAACCACUGCUUACAUUCUUAGAAAGGGGAAAAAAAACAAAACCAACUUACAAGUAAUAGUUGCACAUGAGCAGCAUUCCGAUUUGCAAAGGAGGAACGGGAGUACAAUAAGCAAAAAGGAGACUACAGUAAGACUUGAAAGCCAGUGGAGGAAAAUAUGAACUAUUGUAGCUCCAAGGUCAGUCACUGUGGAUGGGCUUGGGUGGGUCUGCUCACAUGUUCUUCCCACCUGAAGCGCACUUGUGCUGACUUUACUUUGAUGCUUAUAACUUUCCUUGUCAGGUAUUCCAUGUUGCAGGUACCUUUGGUAACGUUAGGCCUCUAUUACAGCUCUGCCUUGACCCUCAAACUUCAUGCUGGUUACACUUGUAGGAUUUCUCAGGGAAUAAAAUGCUGCUACACUUUGCCUAGUCUCACAGGUUUUCUCUGGGGUCUUGUUGCAAGUCUUCAUGAAACUGUUAACUAUUGUAUUCUGCAUUUCUGUGAAAGCAGGACCAAGAUUGGGAAGGAGCCAGGAUUCUUUGAAUCAUGGCCAUUGCAUGCCCAGGAGUUGACCCUAGCAAAACAAAACCCUAGGUGGUGGCCUUUUUCAGGUAGGGCACCCCUUUGAAUCUCCUCUAUAAAUGAAAGCCUUUCAAAAAAUGUUCCCCUUUUCAUAUUGUUUACCUUUAGGGGGAAGGGUUUUAUCCUCAAGUCACUGUUGUGAUAAAACACUCUGACCAAAACCAACUUCAGAGAGCAAAGGUUUUAUUACAUCUUACAUUUCCAUGUCACAAUCUGUCAUUGAAGAGGAGAAAGUAAAGGCAGACACUUAAGCAAGACUGUUUGCUGUUCCACAUAGCAUUCCCUCCAACUGGAGAACUCUCUCACAGCCAAGGAAGGAUAGCAGAAACCAUGGAGGAGUUUUACUUGCUGGCACACUUACAGGCUCACACUUGCCCAGCUUUCUUGUAAGCUCUGUAGUACUCACCCAAGGAAACAACACCAUUCACAGUGGACAGGACCCAACCACAGUAGUUAACAGUCAAGAUAAAAUGAAGACAAUCUCUCAGCUGAGAUUCUUACUAGGUUUUUCUUGGCGUCUCAACUUGUUAGUUAAUGUUGACUAGCAUAACGCUUGUUCCAUGGUCCUAGUACAAAGUGUGUGUGAGUGUCUUCAAUGGAGAUCAUCACAACUGAUUUGUCUACAUCUUCUUUUUUCACCAGUGCAAAUAUACUCAUACUCAUAAAAUGCUCACUUUUUGCACCUUUCCUUGCUGGCUUUUCCUUUAACUUUAUAUUCUAAACCUGGAUUCAUAUUCACUAUGACCUGAAUCCUAUUCUACAUUGAAGUUUCUUUCAUCAGACAAUGUAACCUAUGACUUUUUAAAUUCAGUGCCAUUCAAAAUCUCAGGACUUGGAUAGUAUAUUCAGAUUUUUUACUGGAAUAUAAUGUGAAGGACCAUUGGUAAAAUUCCCAAUACAUUCCUAUGUGAAAUCUCAUGAUCACUGUCUUUAAUACAAACUUUCAUGUUGCAUUUAUUUAUUUGUGUGGGGGUCUGUAGGGAAUGUAUGUGCCACAACAUGCUUGUGGGAGUCAGACUACAGCUCAUGGGAGUCAAUUUUCUCCUACUGUGCGGAUCCUGAGAAUCACAGUCUUGGUGGUUUUUUGAAACCUCAAAGCUCAUCUCCAGUGACACACCUCUUCCAAAAUGGCCACACCUCCUAAUCCUUCUGCCUUAGUUGGGUUUCUAUUGCAAUGAUAAAACACCAUGGCCAAAAUCAAUGUGAGGAGGAAAGGGUUUGUUUCACCUUACAGCUUGUAAGUAUAUCACCUAAGAAAACCAUGGGGAAGUGCUACUUAAUGACUUCCUCAUGGCCUGUUUAGCUUGCUUCCUUAUGUACGAAAGGCCACAAUAAUGUGCCCUCCCCCAAAGUGGGCUUGGUCCUCUCAUAUCGAUCAUUGUCUUAGGAUUUAUAUUGCUAUGAUAAAAUGCUAUGAAUCCCAUAAACGUGGGGAGAAAAGGCUUUAUUUCAUCUUGCAUCUUAUAAACCAUCAUCCAGGGGAGUCAGGGGAGAAGCACAAGUUGGGAACAUGGAGAUAGGAACCAAUGUCGAGGCCAUGGAUUAGUGAGUAAGUGCCACUUACUGUCAUGCUUCUUGUGGCUUGCUCAGCCUGCUUUAUUAUGACACCCAGGAUCAACAGCCCAGGAUGGUACCAUACACAGUGAGCUGGGCCCUCCAAAAUCAAUCAUUCAUCAAGAAAAUGCACCACAGACUUGCCCACAGGCCAGUCAGGUGGGAAAAUAUUCUCAGUUGAGGUUCUGUCUUUCAAGUAGACAUAAAAACUAAUCAGCACAAACAUCAAUCAAGAAAAUGCACCAGAGUCUUGCUGACUCUAAUGACAGCAUUUUUCUCAUUUGAGAGCCCCUCUUCCCAAAUGACUCUAACUUGUGUGAAUUUGACCGAAAACUGGCUACCAUACCUUUCCAAAGCGUUCCACUAACUGGGGACCAAAUAAUCAAACUUAUAAUUCUAUGAAGACUGUAUAAUUCAAACCACUACAUUAAUUCCCUGGUCCCAGUAGGCUUGUGGACAUAUCAUAAUGCAAAUUUCAUUUAGUUCAUCUGCAAAAGUCCCCAUAGUCUUUAAAAUCUUAACACUGUUUAAAAUCCAAAAGUUCAUAAUCUCCUUAGAAAUUCAAGACAUUCUCCUAACGAUAGGUUCCUCUGUAAAAUAAAAGAGCAAAUUAAAAAUCAUAGUUAUACAGAAUAUAUAUUACCAUUCCCUAAGGGUAUAAUGAGGAAAUACUUGACCAAAUCAAGAAUGAAAUCCAACAGUGCAAAUUCCAAAUCCUGUAGCUCCCUGUCUAAUUCCAGAAGUCUCAGUUGGAUCUGCCCUUCUGGUUUUGCUACCUGUAACAUGUUUCUCUAUUAAGGGUUAGUUCUAUUCCCUGUCUACAGCUCUCCUUGGAAUAUUUCUCAUGGCCCCAGCAACUCCAACAUUUGGGGGUUUCUAAUGUAAGCGAGGCUUCACUUCUACAACUUCAUGAAAUGGCCUAUUAGGACCUCAGUGUAGGGACACCCCUGGCACAUACCCGGCUUUAAGAACUCUUCUUAACUACAUACACAAAUGCCACAAAUCCUUUACUUUAUAUAAUUCACGACUCUACAGAUAGAACACUAAAAGUUUACCUGAUACUCGAGAGCUAUGGGAGCCAUUAAAUAACCACAGUCUAUGCUCAAGACAAUGGACAGAAACAAUGUAAGGGUGGAAAGGUUUGAUUUGACCCAUGAUUUUAGAGUGCUUCCACUUCUUAAUGGCACAGUGGCAAGAACAUGUAGUAGUAGUUCUUCACUUGACUGUAGAUCAGGAUGCAAAGCAGAUCAGUAUGGAACCUUGGAUAUGUAUAAGGCUUACCCUUAAUGACCAGCUUUCAUGAAGCAGACCCCAUCUCUUAAAGACUCCAUAGACUUCAAAAUUUCUUUCUACACCGGAGAUCAAUAACUAAUAACAAAAGCUUGUGGAGAUCACAGUAGAUUCAAGCCAUAAUAGCAACUGUAAUUAUAAAAAAAUCUAUAAAAAUAAUCAUGCAAUAAGUCUGUAUACCUAAGAUUAAAUAGAAGAAUAUUUUAGGUAACAUUAACCUUAGAAGGUCCAAAACAAUGGAACAAACAUAUGCCACUAAAAUCUUAAAGAGAUUGAUGUGUGUUGCUGUUAUUGAUAAUGUAAAUUAAUUUUCCUGGACUGACCAUUUGGUUUUUAUAUUCCAAUUUAUAUAGAUUAAAUUUCCCAGGAAUAAAAAUUUGUAGAAAGCCUUCAAGCUAAAUUAAUCAGGUUAGAGUUAUCCUGACAUCAAAAUCUAAUAAAAUAAUACAAAAGCGUUUUGGCUACCUAGUUUCAUUUUUUAAUUGAUGCUUGCACUUGAACUAUCUAGCUUAAAAGAUUCUCUUUAAUGCUAAGUUUUCUAGUAUAUUUUUAGUAUCAUUUAGUUAAAAAGAACCUUAUGUCCAUACUAUGUCUAAUUUGAAUUACAUGCUUUGCUUAUAAUAAGUGUCAAGUUUGGGGGAAUGGAGUUGCAGGCAAGUGAAAAGUAAGUUCACGUUGCCACAUAGGAGUCAAUCUGCUCCAUGAAAUGGAAAAAUAAUGUUUUAUAGGAAAAUAAGAUUUACAAAAAAGAGAAAUUUAGCAAGAAUAAUAAAAAUCCAGAGACAGACACUGAGGUUCAAGCUGAAGGUUAGAAAUGCAAAGCAGUCAUACCACCAGACAGCUCUUACUUCUACCAAUGUUCAGACUGAAGAGGUGAUCCACGGAACCUCAGAUUGCAUCUCCAGACUUCACAGAGCUCCUUAGAUUCUCUCUAGUGCUGGGAUUAAAGGUGUGAGCUCUGUUUCUCUUUUAGACUGAUUCAUUCUCAUGUAGCCCAUAGUAGACUUGAACUCACAGAGAUCCACCUGCCUCUGUCUCCUGAGUCCUGGGAUUAAAGGUGUGUGCUACCACGGCCCAGCUUCUAUGGCUGUUGAAAGCUUUGGAUUCUGAUCUCAAGGAAAGCUUUAUUAAAUCAUAAACAAUGUAUCAGUGCAGAAAAAAUGGGCUAAAUCUGUGGACUAUGGCAUAUGAAAAUGAAAUCAUAGCCAAAUGUAAAGUAUUGCUGUGUGGACAUGUAGCUGUGCAGCAACUGUACUCUAUGGAUAAGUGAGUAUAAAACACUGAGGAGGAACAGGAACAUGGGAGAAUUUGUCAGAGUGACUAAUCAGAAAUCUUUAGAGCUCUCGCUUGUUCACAAGGCCUUUCUUUUCUCCUUUUGGUGAGCAGAACUUGAACAGAGCAUUAACCAUAAAAAUUCAGCAUGUGGUAUAAGAGUGUAAAGACCAUGAAGAGUACCUUUGAAUGCUAUCAUUGGAAAAGGGAAAGUGGACACAAAAUCCCACACUUGACCAAGCUGCUAUUUGCAAUCGAUACCUGCUGGUAAAGGAAAAAUUCGUUUUCUCCAAUGGACUGACACUGAGUAUUUCAACCACACUCCAGGGCCGGGCCCCUGCCCUUGAGUAGUUGGCCAAUAAAAAACAGAUUCUAUAUUUUUGUUGUUUAUUUGUUUGUUUGUUUGUUUGGUGGGCUUUUUGUUUGGGUACUCUGUCUAACUUUUUGUUAUUGUUGUUGCUAUUGUUAUUGAUUUUCAGUUUUUGUUUUUGUUUUAUUUUCUUGUUGGGGAAGAGAGAUAGAGGAGAGAGAGAGAAUGAAGUUGAGUAGAUAGGGAGUUUGGGGAG